AUCACAGUAAGGAAAGGAGUAGAAACAUCUGAAAUACAAGGCAGGAAGGAGAAGGGAUCUCUUCCUGCAGAUACAGCAUGAGAAGGAGAAAAAAGCUGGAAAUGAUAAAUCAUCCCUGGAAACAUAUAGCUGACUCAUGAGCUGGAAGACAGAAAACAAGAGGGCACCUCUCCUGCACACCAUGGAGAGGAACUGCUGCCAACUGCCAACCAUCAUUCCAGGUUGCCUGCCCUUGGGAAUCUCUUCCUCCUUUCUCUAUCCAAAACCAUUUGCAUUCUUCCUCAAAAUGUUGCUGACACAGUCUCCUGUCCCACCAUCCCCAGCGUGCAAUUCACUGCAUGUUUUUUUGAGAAAUAAAAAUAAUGCAAAUUCAAGAUGUUAAUAAAACUUACGAUCCAGAGACAAUAUUUGCUUUGGAUAUUUUACAGAGAAUUUAAGAAGCUGGGAUCUCCCAGUUUUAGGAGCUAAAG
rnacentral:lncRNA from 1 species